UCCAAUUUAAUCAUACUCCCAUCCGUCGGCCAACACUUUAUCUUUUCUUCCCCAAAAUUGAGAAUGAGGAACCCUAGCCCCCUUUCUCUCCUUCCUCUCGGCGAUUGAUCACACCACCGCCUUCGGCGCUCCUCGCCGGCGUGUGAGCGCGACGGGGUCAGCCCCCUUUCCCUCCGUUCAUCUCUUUCACCUCCGCAUCGCACGACGACCACCACCCCCUGCCUCCUUCCUUUUUCUCAUUCACGGCGCUGUCGACACAUAGCGUCGCCGCCGACAGAUCCUCCGGCGAAACGCUCAUUGCCGCCGCUGCCAUGGAUGUGAUGCGCAGGUAGCGGCCUCGCCGCUGCUGGUGCCCUGCAUCAGUCCCUUUCUCCCUCGCCGUCGCCUCGUCGAUGGCGAAAAUGGCUCCUGCUCACCCUCCGCCGCUGUCGGCCACUCGUAGCACGAGUGGGAGCUGCUGUUGUCCCGUAGAGUCCGUGUAGCUGCCAUCGUCGGUUGUGGCAUGCCAAAGUUCAGUCACCGAAAAUCCCGGCGGGUUCCUAUUCUGAAGAUAAAUUUUCCUGACUUGUUUUCACUAUGGUUGUAGACUUGGAUUGAUUAUUAUGUGGAUUUGGUGAUUUUUGAAUAAGGUAUUGUUACUUGGAAGGCUUAUGUGUAAUAUGUUAAAUCUCACUGUGUUGUUAGUUCGGCCGAGAUGGGUUCGGCCGUUUGAGUUUGUUGAUGUGUUCCUACCACUCGCCUAUCAUGCUAUGUGUUUCUACAUGAUGAUGUGGUAUUCGAAUAUGAACUUGAAAUGAAGUGAUGUUACCUUCACUGCAAGGUAUCUUGCUGAAUGAUUUAGGGUGCUGAGGGAGAGUGAGGCUGAGUGAUUAUCCCUUAUAUAGAGGGGAAGUGUAACUGAAAGCCUGUAAGGCUGUGGUGUGUGCAGUCACUGGCCCUUAGGCUGCACAAAUCGGCUGAUCUGUCUGUGGUGUUGCAGUGCGAGUACUCUGGCCCUCAAGCUCUUUUCUAACCGAUUUUGGUGGCAUAUGGGGGUGUACUCGUGGGUUUAUGGUGGCUGCCAUAGAGCCUCAGUUUCUGGCUGUCCUUCUUAUUGCAAUUCAACCGAAUUUGGCUCUAUGUGGGAGUUUUAGCACUUGAUUUAUUUAUUUCUUUUGUUGGUUUAUGGCAGGUGCACCACAAUUGUCUGAUUCUCCAUAGCAAAUGGCAGGUAUGAGUGGAGUACGAGCUGCAGGGAUUCAGCCUUGCAGAGUGCUGCUACUGAGAUGAAAUUCUGUUGGCUGACUUGCUCCUCUCGGCCCAGCUCUCACUCGCUGUUCUGAAAGGUAUUGGCAGCGCCCAAGGCUAGCUGCUGGGGUUGCUUCCCUCGUGGUCUCGCCCUCUCGGCUUUCUGGAAUCUGGGCCGAGAUGGCCUAGUGAUGAAGACCGACGUAGUUGCUAGCGAUCUCGAGUUGUAUUAGCGUAGUUCGACUUGAAUUUUCUUUUCAACUUGUAUGCAAAACUCAAUAAUCUUAGAUAUUUAUUCCUCAAGCAUUUGAAAUUUUAGUACCUUGAAAUUCUAUGUAUUUUAUUUCUUUUACUCAAGAAAUAAAUAAAUACUCUUUCUUUCUUUUUA